rnacentral:rRNA from 1 species
AAGGGGGCGUAGGUGGCUUUGUAAGUCAGAAGUGAAAGCCCUGGGCUCAACCCGGGAAGUGCUUUUGAUACUGCGAAGCUUGAAUGUGGUAGAGGAUAGUAGAAUUCCAGGUGUAGUGGUGAAAUACGUAGAUAUCUGGAGGAAUACCAGUGGCGAAGGCGGCUAUCUGGACCAACAUUGACACUGAGGCCCGAAAGCGUGGGGAUCAAACAGGAUUAGAUACCCUGGUAGUCCACGCCGUAAACGAUGGAUACUUGUUGUUGGUGGUAUUGACCCCAUCAGUGACGAAGCAAACGCGUUAAGUAUCCCGCCUGGGGAGUACGGUCGCAAGAUUAAAACUCAAAGAAAUUGACGGGGGCCCGCACAAGCGGUGGAGCAUGUGGUUUAAUUCGAUGCAACGCGAAGAACCUUACCUGGGUUUGACAUCUACUGGAAGACUCUCAGAAAUGAGGUCGCCUUCGGGCCGGUAGACAGGUGCUGCAUGGCUGUCGUCAGCUCGUGUCGUGAGAUGUUGGGUUAAGUCCCGCAACGAGCGCAACCCUCGUGUUUAGUUGCCAGCAUUCAGUUGGGCACUCUAAACAGACUGCCGACGUUAAGUCGGAGGAAGGUGGGGAUGACGUCAAGUCCUCAUGGCCUUUAUAUCCAGGGCUACACACGUGCUACAAUGGUCGGUACAGAGGGAAGCCAAAUAGUAAUAUGGAGCCAAUCCCUUAAAGCCGAUCUAAGUUCAGAUUGAGGUCUGCAACUCGACCUCAUGAAGGUGGAAUCGCUAGUAAUCGC